AUGUGUACCGUAUUCCAAGUACUGUACAAAUAGUAACUCGUUGAUCCUCAAAACCCUGGGAGAUAAGGUAGCUUUACUGUCAUUAUUUAACGUGGGGACAGGUAAAACUGAGGGACAGAGAAGUUAAGCAACUUACCCUAUGUUACACAGCUAUCAUCUGGUGGAAGCAGGAUUUAAACCUAUGUGGAUAGUCUCCAAAGUCACCAUUUGUCUAUAACAUUGAUCAGAAACCUGUGGAUGUUGUGGUAAAUUGCUUUCUCACCAUUUGAAAUCCUUGACUUGAGCUACAAGAGAUACAGUUUACUUUUUUGGGAAUUUCAUUAUACUAUAGUCCCCCCUUAUCCACAGUUUUACUUUCCAUGGUUUCAGUUACCCAUGGUCAGGAAGCAGAUGAUUCUCCUGAUGUAUCAGCAGAAGGUCAACAGUAGCCUAAUCAAGUCAUAGUAUUUACGUCGUUCACUUUAUUUCAUCUCAUCAUGGAAGGCAUUUUAUCAUCUUACAUCAUCACAAGGAGGGUCAAAAUCUCAUAGAAAAGGAAAUGGGAAGAAUAUUUCAUUCAGAAGACAAAUGCUAAAAAAAUAAUUUGACAACUGCACAUGGAUAUGGAAUGGAACAUCCCUUAUUCCUUUGGCCCAGACAGCGUUGUUGAGCCUGCUGUCAAUGCACAUAUCUGUCGUUCCCCUUUCUUUUGUGGUAAGUUUCUGGAUCUCUUUGAGCGCCCGAGGAGUACAUUUCUUGAAACCCACUCCAUCGUUGCACUUGUUGGAGGUUGAUGGUGUAUUCUCUGGUCACUACUUUGCUGGUAGCAGAACGGCCCUUCUGUCACCCUUCCUUGGGGGAGCCAUUCUGAAGGGCCAGGUUGGAAAGGAGUUACUUAGUUAUUAUUGAAUCAAAAAGUUCAACAUGGUGUGGCUCACCACUGUAGUUUUAUCAAAGGUACUAAGUAUUUUCUUUCUCUUUGGCUCUCUUAUUAAUAUCAUUUUAAAAGUGAUAUUAUUUGAAUGUCCGCAUGUCAUGCUGAUUUUGUGAAUACAAAUAAAUUCACCCUAAUAAUGCUGCCUAAAUAAGAUUUAAUAAUCACCUUAAGUUUAAUAGUCAUCCCUUCCCACCCCCAAGCGCCCUCAUUUAGGACAGGAAAUACUCAGCUGGGUCUCCCAGGUGCUCCAGAAUAAUUCCACUCAUGCUCUAUGGCUCUGGGUUCCUAGUCAAGACAUUUGACUGUAUAUUGGCCACCAAUGCCCUUUAUGAGAAUAUGCCUUUACUGGUGGAGCCAUUCCUUAUUGGUGGCAAGGUUGCACAACGGUCUGUGGCAGACUGGGUGAGAGAAUGGCCCUCUCCCUGGCUCUGUGUCACUAGGGCCCAUAGUAAUACAUCUUACACUCGAAAUCCCACAAAGUCAUUUGUGAAAAUAAUUCCUCAGUUUCUGGCCCUAACUUCUUUCCCCAACAUGCUCAAAAGCAUUUGCAGACUCUGUGGGAGAGUAGGGAAUGCAGGCAUCACACCAUUCCCUCCUUUCCUUUUGCCAGUUUCUCAAGGUCACGGGCACAGCAUGUCCCCUUCCUUCUUCAUUUAGAAAUAUACACUCCACGAAGUUCAACUUAUACAAACGGAUGGCUGGAGAUGUCACUGAUAACCAGGUUCUAAAUCCCAGCGUGGUCUCAGGUAAACCACCUGAGACCUUAUCCUUCUUUCUUAUAUCCCUGUCAAUCAGACAGAGAUUACUAAUUCCAAAGGCAUCUUGGCUACUUGUCUCCUUUUGUGUCCCCUUUGAAAGUGAAACAACUGCAUGUGGAGAGAAGAGUCACACAUUUCGGAGGCUGAAGCCAUCCCCACCCUGAGUCAUAGCUGCCUGGCCUCACUAGGGAUCUAGACACGGGCUCCUCAGCAACAUGGAGCUCUGGGGAUUUCUGUUUUGCUGGGACUGAUGUGUGAACAUUUACAAUAACAGUCAACAUAAGAACAAUGACACAACAUAGGUAAGGAUUUAAUUUUAUUCCUUAUUUUUCAAAAAGCUUCCUUAACAUGAUGUGACAGUUACUAAUGCCCUAUUACUUUAAGUUCUGCUAAAGUAUAUGAGGACCCAUGACAUUAAGUCCAUUUAAAAACUCUUGUUCUUUUCUGGGAAGAAUAGUGCAAAGUAUAAUAUUGAACAAUAGUUUAAGGGUAGUGUAAAGCACAAUACAGUGUAAAUGAUGAUGUAAAAAUGAUUAACAAAAAGGCAGUGGAGAAUUUCUCCUCACCUUCACAUGACCCAAAUUAUGCAUUUUUUGUUUGUUUUGAAAUUGAUGUUUCCACGUUAAUUCUGGGGGAAGUAUAGCCUCUUCUUUCUGAUUCCUACUCCUAACCUCAGGGUGACAUCCACCUUAGAUACUUAAGUAUCUGCAAUUUUCAUAAAGAAAGGAUAAGUAAACUCACAUUCAAGGACCAAUCAUGGUUAUGAUAAAGCUUAGUAUAUGUUUCCCUGAGGCAUUCUAGUGGAAAGGCACUAGUCUGAUUGCAAUGUUUCCUCUGCUGCUCAUUAUUUAUGAGAUGUGAACCCAGCAUGACAAACUUUCUGAGCCUAGUCUGUUUAAAAACUAGCAAUGAUAUUGGGGCACCUGUGUGGCUCAGUCGGUUAAGUGUCCAACUUCGGCUUAGGUCACAAUCUCAUGGUUCCUGAUAUAAAGCCCCGUGUCUACCUCUGUACUGACAGCUCAGAGCCUGGAGCCUGCUUCAGAUUAUGUGUCUCCCUCUCUUUGCCCUCCCCUGCUUGCACUCCCUCUCUCAAAAAUAAGUAAACAUUUAAAAAAAAAACAACUACCAACAAUAUCACCAAUUUUACAGGAGUUUUUAGAAGAAUAAAUGUGGGAAUGCAAGCUAGUGCAGCCACUGGAAAACAGUAUGGAGUUUCCUCAAAAAACUAAAAAUAGAACUACCCUAUGACCCAGCAACUGCACUACUAGGUAUUUAUCCAAGGGAUACAGGUAUGCUGUUUCGAAGGGGCACAUGCACCCCAAUGUUUAUAGCAGCACCAUCAACAAUAGCUAAAGUAUGCAAAGAGCCCAAAUGUCCAUCGAUGGAUGAAUGGAUAAAGAAGAUGUGGUAUACAUACACACA